UGUUCGUCCUGGCGCAGACCUUUACGUGGUCCUCGGGAUAAGUACUCUCCGACUCAAGCGAGGGUAUCGGCAACCAACAUACGUGAAGCGAUGUGUUGGUUGCUGGGACCCUGUCGGCAGAGGAAACCAGCAUGCGU
rnacentral:ribozyme from 1 species